GGGGAAAGGGAGCUGGAGAAGGAGUAGGGCCAACAGAGGGCCCCAGCCAGAGCAGUACGCCUGAGGGGCUCUGGGAACCCCUCGUCUCCGGGCCUCAGGUCCCGGGAUCAGCUUCCACAAAUAUUGGGAUUUGAUGGGAAGCUGGGCGGUAAGCCCCGAACAGAUGGUCCAUGAUGUUCAGUUAAAACCGCAAUUGAUUUGAGGAAACAGAUAUCCCCCCUCCUCGUUAAGUUGAAAGUACCUCUGGGACGGCAGUCAAGUGCUUUUCUAACCUCUGCCGUCAGAACCAGAGAGCGGCAAACAGACAAGCAGCGACUCGCCAACUCUCCAGCAGGGAGAGCAGGGAGAGGGGCUGCUCAACCCCCUGAUCCCCUUAAUAAUGGGGGCCUGGCAGAGGGUGGAAAUUACCCCUCUCCAAGAGGAGCCAAGCAGAUUCAGCCAAACGGGGUUAAUCUGGAGAAGAGUGUAGUUGCUUGACCUUAUCUUAACCUGGUUCAUGGAAGUUUCAACUUGAACUUGAAAGAGUUACAUGGCUACUGUGAUGAGGGGAAUCGGGGGGAUCAAUUGAAUUCAAAUCAACAAAAGUGUCUCUCCAGUCAUGGUUAGAGAUAAACCCAUAAUGUAGGCGAUCAGAUAAGAGCACAGAUGAGAAUCACCAGAGAUGUUCUCUUGCAUGUAGCAUAUGCUAAGUGCUCAGGAUCUGCUGCUCUCUCGCUGUCUAUGGCACACCUCUGGAAAAGCCGCCGGCACAUCCGUCUGGAGAAACCUGAAGCACUGGAAUGGGACUGGGGGGACUAGUGAUGAAGACUACAGGAUGCCUAUCCACCGUGGCCUAGUGUUUUGAUGCCAUCUAUUGGAAUAAUUGACCAAUUUAUCAAGGGGAGUAUACAGAGUGACUACCAACUGAAAUGCUUUCUAUCCUCAUAAUAGCAGUAGUCGAUUAUGAAUAUAUCAGUUACAGUUACUAAAUUCUACCCAACAAACAUUGAGUAAACAUUCAGCUCAUUUUGAUAUCAGAAUUAUUAUAUCUCAACCACUUCUACCAAGUCAAAUUUCAAAUGAUGAAAUGGUGAUAUGAUGGUGAACUAGAGAUAUCUUGAUUUUGCAUGAUGCCAUGUGUUUUUAUAAAGAAAAACAAUGAUUUGGAUCAAUACAAAGCAUACCUCUUUUCUCCCAAACAUUGGAAAUCACAGAACAC
rnacentral:lncRNA from 13 species